AAUAGAAAAUAAAAUAGAUUUCGGAAGAAAAUAAAUAAAAGAGAGUUCGGUAGAGAAAUAAAAUUUAUUAUAGAAAAGAAAUUAAUAUCGAGAUUAGAUUACGUAGAAAAAUUAGGAGUAUAAAAUAAAAUUCUAAGAGUGGUAAAGAAAUACUUUAUCUGAUAUAGUUACUUUUGUUUUGUGUCAUUCUUAAAUUUCUUGGAUCGCCCGGGUCCAUCUAGUGCCCCUCCAGGACAGAAUCAAAGCUAGAACUUCGCUCUCCAUCACUGUACUAGGAAGCAGCGGAUUCAACUGAAGCUCUGUAAUCUUCUCCGCAGAGUUAUAAAUGUAAACUUAAUAUUUCUGUUAUUUAAUUUUGGAUGUAUACAUUAUUCUAUUAUCAGAAUGUUAUUGAACUCCGCAGUUAUAGGGUUGUGUAUUUCCAAUUGGGCCUUGCCGUAUGCGUUGUUUUAUAAACGGUUGAUUGUAUUAUUAGACACAGGAAAAUCAGUAUGCCCAUAUUAUGAACGUGAUUGAUAAUGACUAGGCCCAAACUAAAUUUUAUUGGAGAUAAUUAAAAUUGGGCCGGAUUGUA